rnacentral:rRNA from 1 species
AGAUUGAACGCUGGCGGAAUGCUUUACACAUGCAAGUCGAGCGGCAGCGCGGGGGCAACCCUGGCGGCGAGCGGCGAACGGGUGAGUAAUACAUCGGAACAUGUCCAGUUGUGGGGGAUAGCCCGGCGAAAGCCGGAUUAAUACCGCAUGAGCUCGAGAGAGGAAAGCGGGGGACCGUAAGGCCUCGCGCGACUGGGUUGGCCGAUGUCCGAUUAGCUAGUUGGCGGGGUAAUGGCCCACCAAGGCGAUGAUCGGUAGCUGGUCUGAGAGGAUGAUCAGCCACACUGGGACUGAGACACAGCCCAGACUCCUACGGGAGCAGCAGUGGGAAUUUUGGACAAUGGGGGAAACCCUGAUCCAGCCAUUCCGCGUGAGUGAAGUAAGGCUUCGGGUUGUAAAGUCUCUUUUUGUCCGGAGCGAAACGGUUACGGUGAAUAUCCGUGACUACUGACGGUACGGAAGAAGUAAG